UACGUAGGGGGCAAGCGUUGUCCGGAUUUAUUGGGCGUAAAGAGCGUGUAGGCGGCCUGACAGGUCUGCUGUGAAAACUCGAGGCUCAACCUCGAGAUGUCGGCGGAAACCGUCUGGCUAGAGUCCGGAAGAGGAGAGUGGAAUUCCUGGUGUAGCGGUGAAAUGCGCAGAUAUCAGGAGGAACACCGGUGGCGAAGGCGGCCCUCUGGACGGAUACUGACGCUGAGGCGCGAAAGCGUGGGGAUCAAACAGG
rnacentral:rRNA from 1 species